rnacentral:rRNA from 1 species
AGGCAGCAGUGGGGAAUAUUGCACAAUGGGGGAAACCCUGAUGCAGCCAUGCCGCGUGUGUGAAGAAGGCCUUCGGGUUGUAAAGCACUUUCAGUAGGGAGGAAGGUAGUGUAGUUAACACCUGCAUUAUUUGACGUUACCUACAGAAGAAGCACCGGCUAACUCCGUGCCAGCAGCCGCGGUAAUACGGAGGGUGCGAGCGUUAAUCGGAAUUACGUGGGCGUAAAGCGCAUGCAGGCGGCCUGUUAAGUCAGAUGUGAAAGCCCGGGGCUUAACCUCGGAAUUGCAUUUGAAAACUGGCAGGCUAGAGUCUUGUAGAGGGGGUAGAAUUUCAGGUGUAGCGGUGAAAUGCGUAGAGAUCUGAAGGAAUACCAGUGGCGAAGGCGGCCCCCUGGACAAAGACUGACGCUCAGAUGCGAAAGCGUGGGGAGCAAACAGGAUUAGAUACCCUGUAG